UACGUAGGGUGCGAGCGUUGUCCGGAAUUAUUGGGCGUAAAGGGCUCGUAGGCGGUCUGUUGCGUCCGCUGUGAAAACCCGGGGCUUAACCCCUGGCUUGCAGUGGAUACGGACAGACUAGAGGUAGGUAGGGGAGAAUGGAAUUCCCGGUGUAGCGGUGAAAUGCGUAGAUAUCAGGAGGAACACCUGUGGUGUAGACAGCUUACUGGACCAUUUCUGACGCUGAGACACGAAAGCGUGGGUAGCAAACAGG
rnacentral:rRNA from 1 species